rnacentral:rRNA from 1 species
CAGCCGCCGCGGGAAUACAGAGGGUGCAAGCGUUAAUCGGAAUUACUGGGCGUAAAGCGCGCGUAGGUGGUUCGCCAAGUUGGAUGUGAAAUCCCCGGGCUCAACCUGGGAACUGCAUCCAAAACUGGCGAGCUAGAGUAUGGUAGAGGGUGGUGGAAUUUCCUGUGUAGCGGUGAAAUGCGUAGAUAUAGGAAGGAACAUCAGUGGCGAAGGCGACCACCUGGACUGAUACUGACACUGGGGUGCGAAAGCGUGGGGAGCAAACAGGAUUAGAUACCCGAGUAGUCCCUGUCUCUUAUAC